rnacentral:rRNA from 1 species
GACGAACGCUGGCGGCGUGCUUAACACAUGCAAGUCGAGCGGUAAGGCCCUUUCGGGGGUACACGAGCGGCGAACGGGUGAGUAACACGUGGGUGACCUGCCCUCAGCUCUGGGAUAAGCCUGGGAAACUGGGUCUAAUACUGGAUAUGACUCCACGGUGCAUGUCGUGGGGUGGAAAGCCUUGUGCGGCUGAGGAUGGGCCCGCGGCCUAUCAGCUUGUUGGUGGGGUGAGGCCUACCAAGGCGACGACGGGUAGCCGGCCUGAGAGGGCGACCGGCCACACUGGGACUGAGACACGGCCCAGACUCCUACGGGAGGCAGCAGUGGGGAAUCUUGCGCAAUGGGCGAAAGCCUGACGCAGCGACGCCGCGU